rnacentral:ribozyme from 1 species
UAGCUCUAGCGACGCGCAAACACUCUCUCACGAAAAUGAAGAAGAAAAACAAGAAGAAAAACAAGAAGAGGAGGAAGAAGACGACACCGAUCGUCGUCUCGCCGGUGGCGUUCAAGCGUUCUUCGAGAGCUUUCUUUUUACUUCUUCUAAA